GACGAACGCUGGCGGCGUGCUUAAUACAUGCAAGUCGAACGAGAGCGACCGGUGCUUGCACUGGUCAAUCUAGUGGCGAACGGGAGAGUAACACGUGGGUAACCUGCCCAUCAGAGGGGGAUAACAUCCGGACACGGAUGCUAAAACCGCAUAGGUCUACGCACCGCAGGGUUUGCUGAGGAAAAGAGGCGCAAGCUUCUGCUGAUGGAUGGACCCGCGGUGCAUUAGCUAGUUGGUGAGGUAACGGCUCACCAAGGCCGUGAUGCAUAGCCGACCUGAGAGGGGGAUAGGCGACAUUGGGACUGAGACACGGCCCAAACUCCUACGGGAGGCAGCAGUAGGGAAUCUUCCGCAGUAGACGCAAGUCUGACGGAGCAACGCCGCGUGAGUGAAGGAAGCUUUCGGAUCGUAAAACUCUGUUGUUAGAGAAGAACAAGUGCUAGAGUAACUGUUAGCGCAUUGACGGUAUCUAACCAGAAAGCCACGGCUAACUACGUG
rnacentral:rRNA from 1 species